ensembl:lncRNA
GAGAUAUCAGAAGACUGAAGGAGUUGUGAUGGAUGUACUGUAUGAGAAAAUGGAAGUGCUGGAAAUAAACUUGGGGAAAUCAUAAAAUCGUAGGAGGUGGUUAGAUGAGUUCAUUGCUUUCCUCAGUGCAUGAAUUUCUAUGGCCAGUCACAGGAAAAGGCUUUCCUUAGGAACAUUUCUGCUGUGCAAGUUUCCCCUGUCAGUGCUCCAAGCCCAACUGUGACCACAUUGCUGCAGCUGGCGCUGGGCUGGAUAUGAUCACCCCAAAACUUCAGAGAAACAGAGUCCAUUUAGAGGGGGCUUUCAGCUGCAGUUACAGUGCUGAGGAAAUGCCUGCUUCUUAAAGACGUACAGCAUAAAUAUCCAACAGAAAGCUGAGAAGAGUGUCAUGAAAACAUUCAAGAAGUAAUUUGAAAUGAAGAAUCCCUGACUGUCUCAUCACAAGUUCAUCUGCCACAGGAAGGCUAACCUUUGAAGAAACAUUUAUCAGAGUGAGCUAUUUGAUCAGGUGUAGCUCGGAGGUGGAUUUCCUUUCAGUGGUAUGUAGCUCCAAGCCAGCGCCCUGAUUGCUGUUACUCACACUGCAAUAUUGGACUCUGUGCCCUCCUUCUCUUCCUAAAAGGGCUACUCCUAGUCCUCAUGAGACAGUGCAGUCUGGGAAGGCGACUGAGAAAUAAAAGAUCCUCUGCUAAUCCCAAAAGAAAACAAACACUGCAGAAAUGAACUGGAAAAUGUCAAAAUGUGGAAAUACAUUUUCUGAAGUGGAGGACAGCAAUAUACUAUAAGAGAUAUGCAUGCUGUAUACAGAACAUUCUUCUGUUUUGAUCCUUCUUCGGCAUUUACUACAUGAAAGAAUAAAACAGGGGACAAGGCAGUUGGUAUUAUCGAUUACUAGUUUAUCAUGGGAUCAAUCAAAUAAACAAACAAAAAAAUAAAUAAAAAACAAAUCAACCAAGACAAAAAGAAUGCAAGUGUAUGGAAACUAUAAAAAAAGGUUGAAAAAAGGACUGUAGGUGUAAAUGCAAGGCUGAAAGAAAAGUGUUGGUCCCAAAUAAAGGAAUAUAAGCUACUCACAAGCCCAAAGCAGAGUCAAACCAUUACAAAGCCAGGACAAAACCCUCAUUGCCUAACUGACACUGAGUACCUACAGCCCAGAUCUUAUGUCCUGCUUAACAUCCGCUGAGGAAAAUAAGUUGCACUAUCAUUUCUAGCAGGUCAGAAAUACUGUACAUCAAAGACCUUGCACACCUCAUUGAACCACACAGAUUUGAAGUAGCUACCUGUAUUGAAGGUUCUUUACACGAUUGUCCUGAAAUUAGGUUUGCCUAGGAGUGUCAAGGAUGGAGACCUUGACUGGAUUCCUUGCGGAUCAGUUAUGCACUGUGGCCCCUAUCUUGUAAAUACCUAAAACUUCUUACAUGUUAUGUUCCCGCAAUUAACCUGAAAAUGCUUUUGCCAUGUGUUCAUUCCCUUUCUCUUUUUUCCAUAUUUUUUUCUAGACAUUUUGUGUUUUCCUGAGCAUGGGACAGUAAAAUUCUCAAGUUGAUGGGUCUGACUUUGUAUUCUAAAUUGCCUAAACUGCAAAAAAAGUAAAACUUUGAUAUUUCAGAGUUAAUUUUAAUGUGGCAGACUAAUCAGAUAUGGAGAUCCCUGACUCCAGCCAAGGUAGAAGGAUAUUUAGUCAUAGUAAGAGGUCAGAUCUGAGCUCUUAUGCUAGUUAAAGGCAUCUAUAUUACUGGAACAUACCUCAGGUCACUGAUUCACUCUAUUAAAUGGAACAGAAUUAGCUUAAUUUGGACAGCAUAUCAUGGUGUGAUAGAGCAUUGCAGUGAAAAGAGUACAGGAGGAAAUUUAAAAGAGUUAGGUUCCUUCUCCAGGUACAUACCUUCAGCUCUUUUGUAGUCUUGAGCAAAUUUGCUAGCUAUUAUCACUGUAAAAGAAUGAGGAAUAAGAAUAUGAUUAAUAAGAAGGAGACUUGUGACUUCAAGUAUGUACAGGUGAAGGGAAGGGCCCCUCAGGGAGCUACAACUGCUCAGUUUACCAAACAGUCAACGAACAAUUUUUAUUUUGGAGUUUGGUUUUGGUGCUUUGCCAAUUCCCAACUGAACGAGCAACAAAUUUCAGUGUGAUGGGAGGGCAAAUUCUUCAAUUAGCUUCAUCAAUAAAAUAAUAUAACUCUCUCUAGUUAACGAUGUCUUCAUCUUAGUUUCUCAUUGUUGGAUAUUAGUGGCUAUGUCUUCUGAGAGAUCAACUGUAAAUUAAUGCCUGUGGUCUGCCACAGCAGUAUUUCAGCUUUCACUGAAGUCUAGGAACAGUUGAAAUGAUUCCUCUCCAUUGUUUGUCCAUAGCAUGGGGCUAAACAGCAGCUUACAUUCCUGGUAUACAUAUAUAUAUAUAUAUACAUACACACAAAUUUUCUUUAAACAACCAAAGUUAAGUAAAUGUCAAAAUAUUAGCAUCUGUAUAAAUAAUUGCCUUGGUAAAUGAGUAUGUUGCUUUCUGUUUAGAAGAUUUGCAUGAGUACAGGAAAGGAAAAGUUAUUUUGUAGCACAACACACAGACGUUGACUGUUGUUUUGUGUUUUUUUCUUUCAAAAAAAAAAUCACAAAGUAAAAUAAGUAUUUUAUGAGAGUGCUGGCUUUUCUAAGGGCAAAAAUCAUAGAAUCACCAAGGUUGGAAAAGACCUACAAGAUCAUCCAGCCCAACUGUAAAAUCUCCUCCUCACUUUCUAACACACAUUUUAAAUGAAAAAAAGAAAAAUUAAAAAUCCUGUGGUAAAGUUGUAUAUUUCUAUCAUAGGAAUCCUACUAGAAACUGCAAAGCUUUUAUUGAAUACAUUUAUGAUAAUCUAUGAAGAACAGAAGCUCACUUCUCAUCAUCAUCCUACUCCUAUAGUAGCCUGACCAUAGAGCAACUAUGCACACUAUGUCCCUUAGGGUGCUGCUUAGUGUACAGUUUCCCCAGAGUUUAAAUGAUUUAGAAGGUUCUUAUUUUUAUCUGUCAGGUUUAAUUGGACUAAAAACCAAAGCAAAGAUCUUUUUAAAAUUGAGAAAGCUCGGAUCUGAUGAGUGAGACUGUUAAACCAAUCAUCCUCACCCACCAUAUACUUCUUUUUUUUCUCAUCUCAGUUUCAGUUUAACAAUUUCAGGAGGAUUUUUAGAUUGCAGCACACUUUCCAGGACUUAUUUCUGGGACCUGGGCAUUAAUUUUGAUAUACGAUAUCUUUGAGGACAGGCUACAUACCUACUUUCCUCUGCCUUCUCCCCUUGAUAGGGACAGUUAAUUUGUUGGGAGGUCUUCUUCUCCUCUCUUCUUGCUCUCCCUACCCCAUCACACAGUCCAGAAAGGCCUUCCCACUGAGCAACUCUGUUCCCAGCAGCUCGCAGUGCAAACCAGUGUGCAGCAGGCAGAACAAAAUAAACAAUCAGUCUUCCUCUCUACAGAUUAGACCACUCUUCCUGAAUGAAUAUAAUGUACAGUGACUGUGAAUAAAUCCAUUAAACAGGUGCACAAUCCAUCACAAAUGCACGAGAUCACUUCAUGCUUUUCCAUCUUCAUAUUACAGAAGUUUAAGAUAAACUGUUGUCUCCACAAGACUGAUUUAUAAUACAGGCAGCACUGAACCCCUCACACAUAUUGCCACUGGGCCUUCAAGAAUCCACCUCCACGUAGCUUUGGUUGGAGUCCUGUCACACCUUUAGUUCUCUGCUCUCUUGUGUACUGCUGUGACUGUGACUGCAAUUCCAGGAAAUUUGAACUAGAUAAUUUGCAAAAAAAAAAAAAAGCUUUAUAUUCACAGAGCAUUUAUAUUCACAGAAUCCAAAGGUAAUGACUGGGACAAUGAAAUACCACACACUGUAGGCGAAGAUCAGUUUCAAGAUCAUUGGAGGAACAUGUGCACAAGUUCAUGGUACUCAACAUGAGCCCAUAGUGUGCACUUGCAUCCCAGAAAGCCAGCUGUCUCUUUGGUAUCAUCAAAGGAAGUGUAGGUAGAAAGUUGAGGGAGGUGAUUCUCCCCUUCUACUCUGCCCUCAUGAGACCUCACCUCGAGAACGGCAUUCAGCUCUGGGACCAAGGGCACAAAAAAGAUGUGGAGCUGUUAGAGCAGGUCCAAAGGAGGGCCAUAGAGAUGAUCAGAAGGAUGGAGCACCUCUCCUACAGGUUGAGAGAGUUGGAGUUCAUCAGUCCAGACAGGAAAAGGCUCUGAUGAGACUUUAUAGUGUAUUUACAAUAUGUAAAGGAGGUCGACACAAAAGAUGAGGAGAGUCUCUGUCAAGGAGUGUAGUGAUAGGAGAAGUGGCAAAAAAUUUAAACAAAAAUAGGGUAGUUCUUAAUUAGAGAUUAGGAAGAAUUUAUUUACUGGGUCAGUACUGGGUCUGAAAAUCUUUAAUAUCUUCAUCAAUGACAUCAACAGUGGGGUCAAAUGCACCCUCAGCAUGUUUGCGGAUGGCAUAGAGCUUUGUGUUGCAGUCAACACAAGGGACAGGAUGCCAUUCAGAGACCUAGACAGGCUCGAACAGUAUGCUCAAGUGAACCUCAUGAGUUUCAACAAAACCAAGUGCAAGGUCUUGAACAUGGGUCAUGGCUACUCCUGCUAUCAGUAUAAGAUGGGGGAUAUAAAGGUGUAGCACAGCCCUGCUGAAAAGGACUUGGGGGUACUGAUGGAUGGGAAGCUGGACAUGAGCCAGCAACAUGCCCUCACAGCCCAUAAAGCCAACUGUAUUCUGGGCUGCAUCAAAAGAAGUGUGGCCUGCAGGGCAAGGGAGGUGAUCCUGCCCCUCUACAUUGCAGGGGGGUUGAACUAGAUCACCUUUAAGGGUCCCUCCCAACUCUAUGACUCUAUGAGAUAUGUCUUAUCUCUUCUAGGCAUUGAAAUGCAGCUUUGUACCUUAAAAAGUGGCAAUAUCAAGACUCAUGUUUAAUGUAAUAAAAGCAGUACCAUAUCUGUAUCCAGAACACAUAAAGUUACAGUCUUCUGGGAUUUAGAAAUUGCCUUUCACAUAACUCAAGAGACAAUCCAGGCUUCAGACCAAUGAUAUUUCAGAUCUUAAUUUUUUUUCUGGUUUGCAUUAAAAUGACACACCUUUGCAAGCCCCUUAGGCAUGCAGAACACAUACAGAGUGAAAAUGUUGGGAGUUGCAAGGUAUCCUCCUGGCAAUAAGAGCUUUAUUACAACACUUUGUGCUCUUCCAGGUUAUACACCAAUAUUACAAAAUGUUUGUCCAGAUUGAGUGUUUUUAAAGUAAAUUCCUAAUGAGAAAUAAUGAAAUGCUGAUAGUUUUCCUUCCUUCUGCAAUUUCUUAUUUAAGACACCAAAAUCCCAAUAUUAACUUAUUCCCUUCAGAGUCAUAGGACAGACUCUGGCUUACUAACUUCCUGCCUAAUGGAUCCUUCUGCACAAAUUGGGCUUAUAGGGGUUUAUUCUUCCCUAGAGAGAAGAUAGCUGGAUUAUGAUUUUUGUUGUUGUUGUUGUUCUUUAUCUAUUAUUUACAUAGCAAAAUCAUUCCUGUUUUUUCUUGCUGAAAAUGUACAGUUAUUCCUGGCAACAGUAAAAGAGUUUUGUUAGUGUAAUAAUUGACCUAUUACUGUAUUUUUUUCUAAUUAUAUAUUACAGAAAUACUUGUUCAAUGUAGUGCAUAUCCAAUUUGGACGGGUAUAAUUGAUGUACUCACUAUGAUUGAGACACUACAUUACAAAAUAAAAAUAUUUUUACACAGUUGCCCAAAUGUUGGAGAUAAUACAUAUACACUUGCAUCUGCAAAAAAUCUUUGAUUCUCCUUUCAUUUUUCCAACAUCAUGCUCAGCAUUAAAAUACAGAUAAUAUUUGUUAACAGAAAUUAAUAUAUACUUAGAAAGAAAAUGCAUUUCAGUUCAGCUUUAAGUAGACUACAUAUUACUUUGUUUAAGUAUUAAAGGAUGCCUUUAUGGAAAUUCCAUAUCAUUACUAAUCUGAAGAGUUUUUAGAUAUCACUGUUUGAAAAGCAGGCUCCAUUAGGCCCAAGGAAUUUUCUCUGCUGAUAUUUAGCUGUUAGCAAGGGUGACCUCAGUCUCUGACUAAUGUGAAUAUCAUGAUUAAUGGGGGCAUUUGGUCACAUGCCCGAGGAGAUGACAUGCUUCAGGUAAGGCUGUGUCACAAGAAAUCAUUAAACACAGAAAUCUGUCAAUCUAAUAGCUAACCACACACAGAAUCCACAACUGUAGAGAGAGUUAUUUAAAGGUAGCAGCAUUCUCCAGAGGAAGUGGAAACUUAAUUGGGCAUAGUAACAACUGUGUGAAAGAGGUAUUUCAUGUGACAACAGUGAACUAUUUUUAUCCUUGCAGAUGGCUGUGAUGGCCCCCUUUAAGUACUGGAAGGAUGCUGUAAGGUGACUGGGGACUUCUCCAGGCUGAACUACCCCAGCUCUCUAAGCCUUUCAGUAUAGACAGCCUGUCUCUGUUUUCUCAGAAUUUUCCUCCUGGAUAUACAGCCUUCAAGCAAGUUAUCCUCUUUUCAGUUUCUGGAAGUGGUCUCAGGUACACAAGGCCAGCUUCCUCAUACUAUCAUAGAAUCAUAGAAUCACCAAGGUUGGAAAAGACCCACAGGAUCACCCAGUCCAACCAUAUCCUCGUGGGACAAGUGCUCCUUACCUCUGCCAUCUCAGUGGCCUCUGCUGAUGCAACUCCAGUUUGUCAAUGUCUCAAUUAAAAAUAAGUAGUGUAUUGUAGAAUCUGUAAGAAUCUCAAUAUGACUGAAGCACUCAGAAUAUGAGAAAUACUGAAUCAGAUAAUUUUUGAUGCGAGUAGCUUUUUUUUAUUUGCAUCUGGAAUACUAUAAAUGAUGUAUUGUAGAAAACAGACACAAAAUAUGAACUUCAAGGAACUCAUUUUUCAAACCUUCUGGAUUAUAAUUUAUCCAAAUGAAUUGAAGUCAAUAUACUUUGAAUUUUCUUAUUCCUACUCUUAUUUUUACUUUUGUAUCCUGUCAAAUAUGCUUCAGCCCAAAAACAAAGGGGUUCAUGUACUACUAGACCUUGAUGAAUAUGGUCUUUUCCCAUGGCAAAGUAUUACAUAAGGAUUUAAAAAGAACAGCUAAGCAUGUAGAAUAUUCAUUACAGUUGACUGUGAAAUUCCCUAAUGUGCACAAAAAAACCUGCUACCUACCCAAUUCAGUUAAAUCACCCUACAUUUUGUAGAAGAUAUCAAAAAAAAAAAAUCUAACCAAUUUCAUAAAAAGAAUAAUAGCAAGAAAAAAAAAUAGCAUUAGCCCAUGCUACUGACAUUCAUCAUUUUAACCAAGUUAGAAGCAGAAGAGAAAAUUCAGUGAAUUACCAUAAAGAAUUAUAAGUAGAGAAAGAUUUUUUAUGGUAAUGUGUGAGCAACAUGUUGUGUAUUUCAAUCUUUUCCCUACAGGCAUUUUUGGAGUUUUUUUGGUCAAUGAUAACAAAAUAGUUCACCAAUUACCAGGUCAAUCCCAAAAUUUAAAAAAAAAAAAAAUGGUAUUGAUAUUUAGCUCUGUCUUUAUGUUAUGGGAAAAGAUAUGGAAAUUGCAUAUCUUUGGUACAUUUCCAAUGCUCUAAAAAAAAAAAAAAAAAAAAAUGUUAUCUAAUGCUCAGUAAUGUGGAACCCUGCUCUCUCUUCCUCUCCCUGCUUGCUCACAUAUGCCACAACUUGUUCCUACCUUUGUGACUAAAACCGAAGAAGUGUACUUAUAGAUGCAUUCUGCCACUUUCAUUCUCGGAAUUCCCUUGCAGGAAUAUUGUCCUUUCUGUCCAAGUGAAACUGAGGCCUUACAAGCACCAUAAAAUGUUUUCCAUGCCACAGUUUAAUUUGAUUUCAAGACUGUCAUUUCUGAUAGAAGGAACAAGAUAGAACAUUUCUAGUAGUUUAAUGAGGGGGAACACUACCUUUCCUUCUUAAAGUUUUAGUCAAAAAUCACCUCUAACUCCUGCUACAAUAUUUAUUUUUAUAUUUUUUGUUUGAAAAGCUUUUACAAGGUAAGAAAAAUCUACACAAUUCAGAAGUCCUUUACUUUUGCCAGUCUGCUUACAGGUUAAAGCAUUACACAGAAACCUCACAAUUGAACUUGAUAAUCUUUUCAAAUGAUACACUAAAACCAUCACCCAGUUUCAUUAGGUAGUGCACACGCUGAGUUCUUGACUCACCUACUGCCUGCAGCAGCUGUUGCCCAGUGACUGAAUUAGUUACUGGGAGAAUAAAGACACCUGGGACAAAGGCACUUCCUUUUCCAUUCUGAGGUUCCUCACUGUGGUGCCAUGGCAAGGCUAGUGCAAGGUUAUUUUGAUUCUGAAUCUGGCAAUUGCAUUAGUCCCUACACAAAAGAGACAAAGAGCUGAGAGCAUAGUACUUAUGAGUGACAGCAAGUGUAAUGAUCAGUGUAAAAGCUAUUCUCCUUAUUUCACUCUUAAAACUUCAUCGUUUGUCCACACUUUUCUUAAAAGUGUAUGUUUUCUUGAGUAAUUGACACACUGUUGGAAAGUUUUUCAAGAUCGAGUGAACUAAACCAACUAAAAUGAAUCCUAUCCUAUGAAGGUUUCACUAAGAUUGCAAGAAUACUCAUGUUCUGAAAAUUAUCAGAAGUUAAAAAGGAAACCAAUCCUAGUUUAUACAAAUUAAUACCAUUUUAAAGCCUAUGUUCAAGACUAAGGCCACAGUGACAACAGAUGUGUCAAAUUUUCAGCUGAUUUUAAUCAGUAAAAUUCUCUGGGUUCCAAUAGAGUUUUUCUGAUUAAAAGCAGCUGAGAAUUUGGACCAAUUAUUUACAAAUAAAUUAUUCAUGAAAUAAUGGGGGAAAUUGCAAAUAAAUAAUGUUACUGAUAUGGCCUGGACACUAUUUUUACAAAAACAGAAUUUGAUAAUUAAUUGACAAAAAAAAAAUCAGUUGUCAUUACUAUUCAUCCCAUGUAAAAAGAACUUGGUAUACUGUAAUAACGUGAUAACAGUGACUGCAGAAUUGUUUAUUGGAUAAUUGCAAGCUAUAGGAGUGGAAAGCAUGUGUAUAGCUUACUCUGAGAUAGAAGCUCUUUUGUUAAUUAUAUUGCUAUUACAAGUCUACUAAUCACGCUAAUAUGAAACAAAGAUCAGUUUGACUCCAAAUAUCCAAAUAAAGUAUUUCAGAGUAGAUUAUGGAACAAAUCUUGACAAAUCUUGCAAGUGGCGGAACCGAUUUGAACAUGUGCCUCUGAAAAACAUCACUUGUUUAUACCUGAGAAUAGUGAGAGAAAAUAGAGAGGAAUCACAGUAUUGGAUACAUAAGCUAUUACUGGGUUCCAAAAACAACGCAGUACGCUAUUCCUAACAUCAGGCUCAGCAUCAACAGAGGAAACAAGCUGGAAAUUUGAAAUUAGUUAAACUUGCCAUGUUUCAACUGCAUCCUGGAUAUGUCUCAAGUAAGUAUAAACAAAUUUAAAUAUACUGAAUAAACAUCUGGACCAUUAAUAUUGUCAUAUAUAAUCAAAUGAGAAAACCAUUGCUUAGACUCAGUUAACUUUCCCAGGUACUAGGAACACUAGAAAAAACAGUCUUAAUUGUGCAAGCCAACAUAUGUCAAGCAUUACCAUAUUACCAAAUUAUUUAACAUAGCAAUUAAAAAUUCUCCCAGAGAAAAUCACUAUUAAAAGCAAGGAGUUCAGUUCCCGUAGCUAUCUGUGCUUGGUAUUUAUUUUUUUAGAUUUCAUUAGUUUCUGAAUGCAUCAACAACUUUACUACUGUGGAAGACUCACAGAGCUUUAGGCCCUGAAGUUUGUUUUCAGUUCAAUAUUCAGCCAAAAUAGACAAAUUGAAGUCUCAUAUCUUCUGCUAAUGUAGUAAUAGGGGUAGCUGAGACCCAGCAUCAGCAGAAUCCAACAUUUUUCAUAAAUUCUUCAUAUCUGACAGUACUGAAUGUUUUUACUUGGUACAUCACUAUUCCCCUUCCCUUUGCUCUCUUCCAUUCCAUGUCUGUCAUCUUUUUCUCAUUGUAUGCCAUAGACCAGCACAAGUCAGACUGUAACUACUAUCUUGUGUUACAUGCCAACAAGGCUCCCAUUUGCUUGGAAACCAUAGUUCUAGGAGAAAACAGUUUGGGAAAAAAAGACUUGCAUCUUCCUUCCAUUGCUGGCCUAUGUUUAUAACAUCCUUCUAUCACUCUCAGUAAAACUGUAAAAAAAUUUUCUGUCAAGAAAACCAAACUAGAGGCAUUAUCUUUCCUGGUUAAGCUGAUAAAUUCUUUCCUGUCCUCAAUAGUCUUCAAAAGUCUGCACCAACACAGUGAGGUGUUAGUGCAAGUCUUGGGCUCAUGUCUCAUGGACAAGUUUGAAAAGAGGGCAAGUAAUUUUGUUCAAAAUUAUUGCUCGUAUUUCUUCUGUUUGGAUUACAAUUGUGCAGGGAUUUCUCUUUAAAUUGCAGGAAGGAUACUUGACAUUUUUUGUGAAAGGGAAAACAUUGCUCUGUCAGUUCUUUCUUUCUCCUUCACUUCUAUUAUAUGUAUAUAUGUGAGCGCAAAAUGUAGUCAACUAAUCCUGACUACAAAAAUGUUGAAGUGUAACUACUCUUUUUUGUAUUCUGUCAAAUACUGAAUGCUAAAACUGUGGUUGUUUGGGGACCAGAGCAUCAUCCUUUGUGUUUUAUAGCAACCCACAUAAUAGAAAACGUGAGCGUAACUGCUUCCAUUUCAGCAGAAUUACAUUUUGUCUUCAGUGGUGCAAAUAGCAUUGCAGUCCAGGGUAGGAUUAGAAAGGUGCUUAUCCACUGAAUGCGCUUUCUGUUGCUUUGGCAUUAUGUAAUUCUAAGUCUCUCACAAAUCACUUUCAGUUAAGUAGGGGGAAAAAUAUGCAUCACUGUAUUUCUGUCCUUGCUCAAAUUGGCUGCAGUGCAAAUCAGAGGAACCAACUGCAGAAAGAUACACUAAAUGUAAAGACAAAAUGGAAUCUAAAAAAGAGCACAAGCAUAAUUUGAAGACUGCUAGGUUAAAAAACAGAAUGAUAAAAUCCUAAUAAGCUCUCAGACACCUAGUAGUCCACAGGGCUUGAGUUUUCCCCAGAAAACUUGUGAAGGCUAAUUUCUCUGCAGAUACGGAACUGCCAUCUUGAAGUAAAAUCUGGUAAGGAUAGAAUAACAGCGUCUAUCGAAUACACGCACUGUCAGUUUUAUUUACGAAUGUGCGUGGAAGAGAUAACAAUGCCCACUUGUGGUAUCCGAGUUCAGAAGGCUGACUGUCCUCAGUGGGGUAUGCAGAUCGCUGGGAGUCCAUAGAAGUCAGGAAGAGAAAAGAGAGAAAAAAGAAGAAAAAAAGAAUUCUAUACCUCUUGCUGAAUCUAGCAUUUACGUAUAGAAGGACGACAGAUUUCAAGGCUUCUGACAUCAUCCUAAAGCAUCUACAGGCAUAAAUUUUUAAGAACAUAAAAAGUUUAUGAGGAUGUGGAAUCACGGAGAAAGAGUCCGGAACUUUUGUGAAAACAGCAAAAGAAAAAUGUAAAAAGCUAAGCUACAGCACAUACCAGAGGCUGAAGGCUGACUAACAUAAAUCCCAUACAUAUGUAGUAGGAAGUAAUACCAAGAGGAAACUGGAAGGCCUAAUUAAAUGAAGCUCAUACCUGAUGAAUGUUCCUGAUGGCACUGGAAUAAUGCAGCAGAAAUGAAGCAGUACACAACAUGGAUCUUGAUUUUAGAAAGGCUUCCUAUACUGUACAAACAAGUCAAAUUCCAUAAUCUAGCUGCUGAGGUAAUAGUGUGCAGCCGCCAACAGCAGACUGCUAAUUAUUAUUUUUUUAAUUUACCUGGUUGGAAUAAGGUAAAAAUCCAGAAAGGUAUAAAGAUUCAUCACUAAAAUUUAGGUGCAUCAUUUCUAUAUCAAUUUAAAUUUAGAAGGCUAAGAAAUGUGUAAUCUAAGUGGUUCUCUGGAUAUUGGUUUGUGGUUGAACCUUUAUUGGGGUAAAACUCAGCACAUGGUAGCUGUGGCCACCUGAACUUUUUCCAUUGUUUCAUCCUUGAAAAUUUGGGUUAUAGCUGUUUGAUUUAUAAGAAAACAUUGUGUUUGAAAAGGAUAAUUUUCAAACAAAAGAAGAAAGUAGCAAUUUUUCCAGUAAAAAAUUUCUGAUAGGAUCAAUAUAGCAGAGGUGGAAGUAGCUUGGUUCAGCUUUAGGCAUUCAGCUUAAUCUGAAGAGUUUUUAUUUUAGCAAAUCUAUCUACUCACCUGCUGGCUUAUCUAAAAGUCUACUGGGGUGUCUGUGCAUCUCUUGGCCUAUCUGUAUAACGGUAAUAAACAUAAUGGAACAGUUCUGGCAUCCUACUCAAUAACAGAGUGAGAAGAAAACUCCAAGAAAAGACAAAAUCCUGCUGAAAACCAGCCACUGAGAAAACUCCAUAUAUGACAGCCAACAUUACACUCCUGACUACAAAAUUCAGAGACCUAUGCAUUUUAACCUGUAAUCACAACCUUUGAUCACAAGGCGUCUCAUGUUCAACAUUCCUUUCAAGGCUCCUUGAUGCUGUAAGAAACACCUGCAAGCAAUCAGCUGGUGCUCUGGAGAAUGCUUUCAGUUCCAGGACAGAAAACGUAAAGAAACAUGAACAUUACAUGAAAAGCUUAUGUGGACAUUUUAUAUAUUUGUAGGUAUCUGCCUCUUCUCCCGAAGCCUUUAGAAGCUGUACUUCAUAGUGGAAAGGUAGUAGCCAAAGGCCCUGCAAACCGUCAUGUGUUUUUCUCUUCCACUUGCCAGUUGAUUGACUUAGAAAGGAGACACCACCACUCAGAGCCUUCCUCAGUUUGUGAGUCACUCUCUCCUCUCCCACCAGGCAGCUGGGAUCAGCAGACAUUAGGUAAUUAGCAACGUUGGCAGAAAACCUGCUGAAGCUGGACCACCAUGCUGUAGUUUCUCAGAGAAAUAAUUAUUCCUAACUCUGUAACAGGAUGAAAUGAAAAUUCUCUGGAGAAGAUGCUGGGAGCAACACUUGUCUUUUUGCAUUAGGAAGCACUCGAACAAAAUGUUGUGACAGCCAGGCCUAGUUCCUGAGAUUUAUUUUUUUCUGAGGACUAUCUGUCUGCACUGGUUUCUGGAGAGGCUCAUUUCAUCUCCAUCAGGGAGGACAGAAGAGUGCUCAAGUACUUCAGUCUGGCUUGAUGCAACCAAGACAUCAAACUCACGCUCAGGUUUCAGCCUCAGAGGUCGGAACUAAAAGCAGCUGAGAAUCCAGAUCUUCAUCUUCCGAAGAUAACUGAGCACAUUUCUCCUCCCCAGGAUGCUGGAUAAUCUGUUUGUGACCACGGAGCUGGCAAGUCUUAUCAGUCAGCCUUAUCAGCAUCUUUUAGGCUACCCUGAGCAUAUGCAGUAGCAAAGGGCCAUUCAGGAAGAGCUGCAGAGAUUUGUAUGUUGUGACUCCUAAACAGCCCCAGUCUCCCAGCCCAGUCAAGGUGGUCAUGCACAGAAUUUUAAACACCAGAGAUACUGAGGAGCAUAGGUGUGAAGAACACGCCGUAUUAUUCUCUUAAAAAUCAGUGUUUUAAAUGUGGCCUAAUGUAUUCCUAAGAUAUUUGUGUUCUUGUGUUGUUGCUUCAAAAUAUAGUGAAAAUAACAGGCAAAGAAAUAUAUAUGUGGGAUUGAUUAAACAUUCAAGAUGAAACUCUGUGCUCUUGAUCAGUUUUCCUGAUAGUUCUAUAUCUCUUGCAAUUCUUUAAUUUAUCCCUUCUGAUACGUGUCAGCAGAACUACGUGGAGAUUUUGUUCUGCUCUUUAUUACUCCAAGGUCAAAAUCUAUGAAGUAAGAUAAAUAAUUUAGUGAUUUUGCCCUUUAUACUGAGAGAUGUUAACAGGUACAAUGCAGCCAGGAACGUCUUCAAUUAUUUAAUUCACACAGUCAAAUGAAAGGAACACUGCUGAAACACUUGCCUAAAUUAUAUCUGUAUUUAUUUAAGAUGUUUUGCUAUCAAGCAGUGUUAAAAGCAGUACGAGUCUUAUUAAAACAACUACUUUUAUCUUGGCAAUCUUCCUUCUCUACUAACACCCUUUAAUGGUUUAUUGAAGGGCUUCCCCUGUCAGGUAAAAAAAAGUCCCAAAGUUACCUGCUUUACCGUCCAUAUUUUCAUCAUCCGUAUUAAAUAAUGCAAUCACCACAAGCAUUAUAAAUUGUAAGAAUCAAUGCUGAGCAGGGACGGCAGUCCAGCCCUAAAGCCAAGGCUGUAUUCCAACAGUUUCAGUAUAGAACUUCUGGCUGGGGCACAGAUGUUCAUUUUCAUGCUGUGAUCUCCAUUCUCCUACUCCCCUUCGCCCAGCCGCGGUUGGCACUGCAGACACGUCUUUAUUGUAACUUUGUACUUGUGUGGAUUGCUUUAACAAGUAUUGGCAAGUCGAGUAUAUGACGGUUGUAAAUUUAGCAGUAAAUAAAAGGCCUUAGGUAACCUUUUCCCCUUUUCUGGGGUUUAUUAUAUAUUGCUUUGAUUAUUUGAUUAAUAUCUAAACAGUAUCAUCUUUGUAACAUGCUGCCACAAAUAUUUGAGGGAGGAUCAUUUCAUCUAGCUGAAAUACCUGCAGACAUGCCCCAGGACAGUCAUCACUACAUGCUAGCCAUUUGUCUGCUCCAGGUGUGGCUUGGUGCUCUCCAUACAGAGCCUGCAGUGCUGGGCCACCUGCUUCUGGCUUGUGAGAACUCUGGGGGUGACAGAGGGCAGGUCUACCAACCUCCGUGCCUCCUGCUGAAAUGGCCACCUGGGAGAGAAGACUGCAAAAUUCCCAAAGACAGAGGAUCGAAGAAAGAAGAGCAUGACUCAAGAGCCGAAUGAAUAACACAGCUGUCUAAAGGAUGGGGAAUAUGGGGACUGCUCCCUGCUACGGAAAUCUUCAUGGCUCCGGAUGGGUUUUUGACCUGAACUGCAAAAGCAAUCCGAGAACGUGGACCCAAAACCUAGGCGUUCUGGUAAAGUCUUCUGAUCAUCAAGGUACAAAAUCCUGCUUUCUCACGUUUGCUGCCACUAGGCCUUUGUCUUGAAGAAACAGGAGCAACUUCUUUGUCUUCUAUAGGUUAGAAGAUGAAAGCUGUCCUAAUCUCUGCUUUCUUUGAUCACUUAUCAAACAAGAACCUGCCACCUACCAGGAUCUUUUAAUAGCAGUGCAAACAGCUCCUAAAGCUGUUGAGGAAUGCUGUUUGCUCCACACCUGUGGAAAUGGAAGGAAUUUGUCAGGAAAAAAACCAAGACAGAAAAUUUUCUACAUUUCAAAGCUGCUUGAAUUUUAUAAUGUUCUCUUUUUACUUUAAAAUAAUGCUUUCGAUAGUUCUGUGGAAUCUUUUGUUUUCCCUUAACAGAAGCAGCCUCCACUCAAUAUUAGUCAAUAUAUAUUAAAUAUAUAUAUAUCAACAAACCAACAAUGUCCAGCUCUGCAAUAUAUGUGUUAUCUCUUUCAAAAUGAAGAAAUAAAUGAUACCGUUUUUCACAUACACGAUCAUUUUCAAAGUUUUCUUUUCUUUUCCCACAAGACUGUACUGUCAUACUGAAAGCUGG